rnacentral:rRNA from 1 species
UACGUAGGGUGCAAGCGUUAAUCGGAAUUACUGGGCGUAAAGCGUGCGCAGGCGGUUUUGUAAGUCUGUCGUGAAAUCCCCGGGCUUAACCUGGGAAUGGCGAUGGAGACUGCAAGGCUAGAGUUUGGCAGAGGGGGGUAGAAUUCCACGUGUAGCAGUGAAAUGCGUAGAGAUGUGGAGGAAUACCGAUGGCGAAGGCAGCCCCCUGGGCCAAUACUGACGCUCAUGCACGAAAGCGUGGGGAGCAAACAGG